AGAGAGAGACAUGCGCGCAUAUCAAUAAGCGGAGGAAAAGAAACUAACAAGGAUUCCCCUAGUAACGGCGAGUGAAGCGGGAAGAGCUCAAAUUUGAAAUCUUAAAGGGUUUCCCUUUACGAAUUGUAGUUUAAAGAAGUGUUUUCUGUUGAGGUUUUGGUAAAAGUUCUUUGGAAUAGGACAUCAUAGAGGGUGAGAAUCCCGUAUUUGACCUUUACUUUCAACUUUGUGAUACACUUUCAAAGAGUCGGAUUGUUUGGGAAUGCAGUCCAAAAUGGGUGGUAAAUUUCAUCUAAAGCUAAAUAUUGGCGAGAGACCGAUAGCGAACAAGUACCGUGAGGGAAAGAUGAAAAGAACUUUGAAAAGAGAGUUAAACAGUACGUGAAAUUGUCAAAAGGGAAGCGUUUGACACCAGUGUUGUUUUUCUGAAAAUCAAUUAAAGAACUGUUUAUGCUAAGUUGUUUAGACUUUAUCAGCUAACUGUUUAGUUUUGAGCUUUUCUUUAAUGCACUUUUCAGUUAACAAGUCAACAUCAAUUUCUUUUGCUGUAAAAAAGCUUGAGGAAGGUGGCUUGAGAUUCGUCUUAAGUGUUUAUAGCCUCUUGCCUAUGCAGUCGGAGAGAUUGAGGUCUGCAGCGUAGAUCCUUCGGGGCUAAAUGCAUUUGUGCUAAGUUAUAGCAUUUUAUAGACAACUUGUUGACUAUGAUUUGUCUUGUAGCUUACUCGCUUAUGUUAUUUUACCUACGCUUAGGAUGUUGAAGACUCUACAGAGAUA
rnacentral:rRNA from 1 species